AGUGAACGCUGGCGGUAGGCCUAACACAUGCAAGUCGAACGGCAGCACAGGAGAGCUUGCUCUCUGGGUGGCGAGUGGCGGACGGGUGAGGAAUACAUCGGAAUCUACUUUUUCGUGGGGGAUAACGUAGGGAAACUUACGCUAAUACCGCAUACGACCUACGGGUGAAAGCAGGGGACCUUCGGGCCUUGCGCGAUUGAAUGAGCCGAUGUCGGAUUAGCUAGUUGGCGGGGUAAAGGCCCACCAAGGCGACGAUCCGUAGCUGGUCUGGGAGGAUGAUCAGCCACACUGGACCGGAGACACGGUCCAGACUCCUACGGGAGGCAGCAGUGGGGAAUAUUGGACAAUGGGCGCAAGCCUGAUCCAGCCAUACCGCGUGGGUGAAGAAGGCCUUCGGGUUGUAAAGCCCUUUUGUUGGGAAAGAAAUCCAGCUGGCUAAUACCCGGUUGGGAUGACGGUACCCAAAGAAUAAGCACCGGCUAACUUCGUGCCAGCAGCCGCCGUAA
rnacentral:rRNA from 1 species